GACGAACGCUGGCGGCGUGCUUAACACAUGCAAGUCGAACGGAAAGGCCCUGCUUUUGUGGGGUGCUCGAGUGGCGAACGGGUGAGUAACACGUGAGUAACCUGCCCUUGACUUUGGGAUAACUUCAGGAAACUGGGGCUAAUACCGGAUAGGAGCUCCUGCUGCAUGGUGGGGGUUGGAAAGUUUCGGCGGUUGGGGAUGGACGCGCGGGUUAUCAGCUUGUUGGUGGGGUAGUGGCUUACCAAGGGUUUGACGGGUAGCCGGCCUGAGAGGGUGACCGGCCACAUGGGGCCUGAGAUACGGCGCAGACUCCUACGGGAGGCAGCAGUGGGGAAUAUUGCACAAUGGGCGGAAGCCUGAUGCAGCAACGCCGCGUGCGGGAUGACGGCCUUCGGGUUGUAAACCGCAUUCGCCUGUGACGAAGCGUGAGUGACGGUAAUGGGUGAAGAAGCACCGGCUAACUACGUG
rnacentral:rRNA from 1 species